rnacentral:rRNA from 1 species
UACGUAGGGGGCAAGCGUUGUCCGGAAUCAUUGGGCGUAAAGAGCGCGUAGGCGGCCCAGUAAGUCCGCUCUGAAAGUCAGGGGCUCAACCCCUGGAUGCGGGUGGAUACUGCUGGGCUAGGGUCCGGAAGAGGUGAGUGGAAUUCCUGGUGUAGCGGUGAAAUGCGCAGAUAUCAGGAGGAACACCGGUGGCGAAGGCGGGUCUCUGGGCAGUAACUGACGCUGAGGAGCGAAAGCGUGGGGAGCGAACAGG